GAUGAACGCUGGCGGCGUGCUUAACACACGCAAGUCGAACGAAGCACUUUUGUCAGAUCCCUUCGGGGUGAAGACGCUAGUGACUGAGUGGCGGACGGGUGAGUAACGCGUGGAUAACCUGCCUUACACAGGGGGAUAACAGUUAGAAAUGACUGCUAAUACCGCAUAAGCGCACAGCAUCGCAUGAUGCCGUGUGAAAAACUCCGGUGGUGUAAGAUGGAUCCGCGUCUGAUUAGCUAGUUGGUGGGGUAACGGCCCACCAAGGCGACGAUCAGUAGCCGGCCUGAGAGGGUGGACGGCCACAUUGGGACUGAGACACGGCCCAGACUCCUACGGGAGGCAGCAGUAGGGAAUUUUCGGCAAUGGGGGGAACCCUGACCGAGCAACGCCGCGUGAAGGAAGAAGGUUUUCGGAUUGUAAACUUCUGUUAUAAAGGAAGAACGGUACAUGGAGGGAAUGCUAUGUAAGUGACGGUGCUUUAUGAGAAAGCCACGGCUAACUACGUGCCAGCCGCCGCAGUAAAAC
rnacentral:rRNA from 1 species